rnacentral:rRNA from 1 species
AUGCACGCUGGCGGCGUGCCUAAUCCAUGCAAGUCGAGCGAACAGACGAGGAGCUUGCUCCUCUGACGUUAGCGGCGGACGGGUGAGUAACACGUGGAUAACCUACCUAUAAGACUGGGAUAACUUCGGGAAACCGGAGCUAAUACCGGAUAAUAUAUUGAACCGCAUGGUUCAAUAGUGAAAGACGGUUUUGCUGCCACUUAUAGAUGGAUCCGCGCCGCAUUAGCUAGUUGGUAAGGUAACGGCUUACCAAGGCAACGAUGCGUAGCCGACCUGAGAGGGUGAUCGGCCACACUGGAACUGAGACACGGUCCAGACUCCUACGGGAGGCAGCAGUAGGGAAUCUUCCGCAAUGGGCGAAAGCUUGACGGAGCAACGCCGCGUGAGUGAUGAAGGUCUUCGGAUCGUAAAACUCUGUUAUUAGGGAAGAACAAAUGUGUAAGUAACUAUGCACGUCUUGACGGUACCUAAUCAGAAAGCCACGGCUAACUACGUG